UGUGAAAAAUUUCAUCAAUCUCUACCGGUAAAAGCUGGUGUGGCUACCAAAAUAACCUGAUAGUUAUACAAAAUGAUCACAUGUACCUCAUUUUGAUGUACAUGAACCAAUUUUUAACAUUUGAAAUGCGUGAAACUUUUAACA
rnacentral:pre_miRNA from 1 species